rnacentral:rRNA from 1 species
CCUUUGGCGUUAGCGGCGGACGGGUGAGUAACACGUGUGUAACCUACCUAUAAGACUGGGAUAACUUCGGGAAACCGGAGCUAAUACCGGAUAAUAUUUCGAACCGCAUGGUUCGAUAGUGAAAGGUGGUUUUGCUAUCACUUAUAGAUGGACCCGCGCCGUAUUAGCUAGUUGGUAGGGUAACGGCUUACCAGGGCGACGAUACGUAGCCGACCUGAGAGGGUGAUCGGCCACACUGGAACUGAGACACGGUCCAGACUCCUACGGGAGGCAGCAGCC